rnacentral:rRNA from 12 species
CCGUGAGGGAAAGGUGAAAAGAACUUGAGAGUUUGAAAAGAAUCUAAAACUAAAUGUUAACAAUCAGUUGAAGCUUAAAAUUUUAAAAAGUGACAACGUACCUUUUGCAUAAUGGAUCAACGAGUUUAUUUUAGAGGCGAGCUUAAACUAAAAAGUGUAGGCUAAAAGAUAUUAAGUUUUAAAAUGCAAUUUAGUCUCUAAAAUAAGACCCGAAACUAAGUGAUCUAACCAUGAACAGGUUGAAUUUAUAGCGGCAACGCUUAUUGAAGGACCGAACUCGUGUAUGUGGAAAAAUACUGAGAUGAUUUGUGGUUAGGGGUGAAAGGCCAAUCAAACUUAGAGAUAGCUGGUUUUCUGCGAAAUCUAUUUAAGUAGAGCGUUUAUAUACUUUAAAUUUAGGUAGAGCACUUAUUAAAUAAAGGGAACGUAAAGUUUUACUGAAUUUAGUAAAACUCCGAAUAAAAUUUAAAAGAAUUUAAACAGACAGACUAAUGGUGCUAAGAUCUUUAGUCAAAAGGGAAACAGCCCAGAUUAUUAGUUAAGGUCCUAAAGAAUAAUUAAGUGAAAAAAAAAUUAAAAAAAUAUUAACAGCUGAUAGGUAGGCUUGGAAGCAGCUAUCCUUUAAAGAAAGCGUAACAGCUCAUUGGUUUAAUUUUUUUGGUUUGAAAAUGUACAGGGACUUAAAUUAUUCACCGAAACUAUAAAUUAAAGUAGAAUAAUAUAUUUUAAUGGUAGCAGAACGUUCUGUAUUUUAAAGAAGAUUUAUGGUUACAUAAAUUGGAGAAAUCAGAAGUGAGAAUGUUGAUAUGAGUAGCGAAAAACAUUGUUAAAAACAAUGUCGCCUUUAAUUGAAGGUUUAUAAAGAAAGGCUAAUCCUCUUUGUUAGUAAAUCGGUCCCUAAGAUUUUAAUACGAAUGUUUAAGUUAAUGGGUAAAAAGUAAUUUCUUUUAUAAUUUUAAAAAGUGACAAAAUAUAAAUUAAAUUUGUAUUAAAUGGUUUUAUAUGAGUUUAAUAAUAUUUUCAAGAAAUAGCUUAAUAAAAAUAUUACCGUACUGUAAACCGACACAGGUCAAUAAAUUGAGUAAAUUAAGGCGCUUAAGUUAAUUAUGUUGAAGGAACUCGGCAAAAUGAUUCCGUAACUUUUGAAUAAGGAAUAACUUUUUUUGGGAAAUCGAAAAAAGUUGUCACAAAAUCGAGGACAGCGACUGUUUAAUAAAAACACAGGUCUCUGCAAAUUUGUAAAAAGAAGUAUAGAGACUGACGCCUGCCCAGUGCUGUAAAAUUAACGGUAAAAGUUUUGGCUUGAACCAGAACUCUCAGUAAACGGCGGCUGUAACUCUGACGGUCCUAAGGUAGCGAAAUUCC